UACGUAGGUGGCAAGCGUUGUCCGGAUUUACUGGGCGUAAAGAGCGCGCAGGCGGUCGUUCAAGUCGCGUGUGAAAGCCCCCGGCUCAACUGGGGAGGGUCACGCGAUACUGAUCGACUCGAAGGCAGGAGAGGGUAGUGGAAUUCCCGGUGUAGUGGUGAAAUGCGUAGAUAUCGGGAGGAACACCAGUGGCGAAGGUGACUACCUGGCCUGUUCUUGACGCUGAGACGCGAAAGCGUGGGGAGCGAACAGG
rnacentral:rRNA from 1 species